rnacentral:rRNA from 1 species
UUUAAUUGGAGAGUUUGAUCCUGGCUCAGAAUGAACGCUGGCGGCGUGCUUAACACAUGCAAGUCGAACGAGAAAGCGAACUUCGGUUCGUGAGUAGAGUGGCGCACGGGUGAGUAAUACGUAGAUAAUCUACCUUCGAAUUUGGGAUAACAUCGCGAAAGUGAUGCUAAUACCGGAUAAUAUUGAUAAGGCCUUGGUUUUGUUAAUCAAAGAUGGCCAAUUCUUGAAAGCUAUUGUUUGAAGAUGAGUCUACGCACCAUUAGCUAGUUGGUGGGGUAAAAGCCUACCAAGGCGACGAUGGUUAGCUGGUCUGAGAGGAUGAUCAGCCACACUGGAACUGACACACGGUCCAGACUCCUACGGGAGGCAGCAGUGAGGAAUUUUGCGCAAUGGGGGAAACCCUGACGCAGCAACGCCGCGUGAGUGAUGAAGGCUUUCGGGUCGUAAAGCUCUGUCAAGUGGGAAGAAACAGCAAGGUGCUAAUAUCAUCUUGUUUUGACGGUACCACUGAAGGAAGCACCGGCUAACUCCGUGCCAGCAGCCGCGGUAAUACGGGGGGUGCAAGCGUUAUUCGGAAUCAUUGGGCGUAAAGGGCGCGUAGGCGGCCUGUUAAGUCAGAUGUGAAAGCCCGGGGCUUAACCCCGGAAGUGCAUUUGAAACUAAUAGGCUUGAGUAUGGGAGAGGGAAGUGGAAUUCCUGGUGUAGAGGUGAAAUUCGUAGAUAUCAGGAGGAACACCGGUGGCGAAGGCGCCUUUCUGGACAGAUACUGACGCUGAGGUGCGAAGGUGUGGGUAGCGAACAGGAUUAGAUACCCUGGUAGUCCACACAGUAAACGUUGUUCACUAGGUGCAGCGGGUAUUAACUCCUGCUGUGCCGCAGCUAACGCAUUAAGUGAACCGCCUGGGGAGUACGGUCGCAAGACUAGAACUCAAAGGAAUUGACGGGGGCCCGCACAAGCGGUGGAGCACGUGGUUUAAUUCGACGCAAC